rnacentral:rRNA from 1 species
GACGAACGCUGGCGGCGUGCUUAACACAUGCAAGUCGAACGGUGAACCUCUUCGGAGGGGAUCAGUGGCGAACGGGUGAGUAACACGUGGGCAACCUGCCCCCGGCUCUGGGAUAACUCCAAGAAAUUGGGGCUAAUACCGGAUGUUCACCGCUUCCCGCAUGAGUGGUGGUGAAAAGGGUUUCCCGCUGGGGAUGGGCCCGCGGCCUAUCAGCUUGUUGGUGGGGUAGUGGCCUACCAAGGCGACGACGGGUAGCCGGCCUGAGAGGGUGACCGGCCACACUGGGACUGAGACACGGCCCAGACUCCUACGGGAGGCAGCAGUGGGGAAUAUUGCGCAAUGGGCGGAAGCCUGACGCAGCGACGCCGCGUGGGGGAUGACGGCCUUCGGGUUGUAAACCUCUUUCAGCAGGGACGAAGCGCAAGUGACGGUACCUGCAGAAGAAGCACCGGCCAACUACGUG